AAGUGAAAUCGUGAAUGAAGCUGCUGGAAACUGUGCCUUGGCGUGUUCUAAAGUCUGCAACAAAGGUUCGAUGAAUGCAGUUGGAACUGCCUAGACAACCUUAUUCACAAAGAUACGAAGUACAUCAUCUAUGGAGUGUUGUUUUUCAUGUUUUUCAUGUUUUCAUCAAUAAUUGUCGUGUAUGUGAGAAAAAUGUAGAAGGUUAUCGAUCCCUAGAUUGCAUAUGCCUUCUAUUCCCUAUGUUUUCAAUAAUAUGUAAUUGUGUCGUGAUAUUUUACGUUCAACCAUUGAAGUUACUUUGUGCCUAGCUAUAUUACAUAGUAUCAACCAUUUUACCAAACUAUUUGAUUAAUAUUCACAUAAAAAUUCAAUCUAAAAGACGAGACUGAAAAAAACAUGUUAAAUUCAACGAAUUUAAUUAUGUGUUAUAUGAGUUUUUGCAGGCUAUUUAAGUAAAAAUAUAUAAAAAAAGAUGCAUUGUUUAUAUUUUUUUAAACAUAUCUCUGAUAAAUGAUACAAUAUUCACUAAAAAUAUCUGAUUGAAUCAAUAAACAACAGAUGAUGGUUUUGGUUGGUCAUAUAGCUUACGGUUUUGUGUGUAUCAGAUUUAUCCCUACUAUAGUAAAAGAGAAGUACACAAGGGAUUCGGGUCGGUUUUUUUAAAGAAUUCCGAGUUAAAUUUUCAAUCGGAUAGUUGCCAUUAUUAAACUAAGUAAAAAGACAGCUUAUUUUAAGGAAUUAUGGUAAAAAUUACCUAAAAUAGAUCUCAAUCUUUAGAAAAAUAUUUAAAUAUGUAAAUUAUACCACAAUCUUGUGAUUUUAUUGUUAAUCGAUUCAAAAUUUUAUUAAAUAUCAUAACUAUAAAAUCUUAAUAGUUACGAUUUAGUUAUUUAAAUAUAGAAUAUGAAUUUUUGAAAUAUGUAAAAUUUUAAAUAGAAAAUGCAUGAUUCAAAUAAUAAAAUUACAUAUUCGUUAAAAAUAGGUGGUGUAUAAAAAAUCUAAGAGUGAACAUUUAUUUACCUAAAUAUAUGAAGAUUUAAAAAAAAUAUAUAUAACCAAAAAAGAGAUUGCUAUAUAAAAAGUAAAAAAAAACGUAUUUACUAUUUAAAAAUUAAGUGUAUAUAUAGCAAAAUCUAACACCAUUUUAUAUAUGACAAAAAAAACUCUGCUUUACCGAAUAUAUAACACCAUUUUAAUAUAGUUUCUAAAUUAUUUUCGAAUUUAUAAGAAAAAACAUUAAUACAUAAAUGUAACUAUAGAUCCUAAUUAUUAAAAAAAUCCAAAUACUAAUUAAUCAAUUUUUAUUCAACUCUAGGUUAUUUUAAUACACUUUGCCAAAAAUUUGACACCAAAUAUACAUUUUGAAAUAAUAUAUGUUGAUUAUAAAAUAAACAAAAUAAGAACAAAUACUAUAUAACACGUUAAAUAAAAACCCAAAAUCCUUCACCCUGUAGCGCGGGUCCGAUAACAAAAUUCUGAUACACAAAAUAACAAAACCGAUACUUUUCCUCCGCGAUGUAGCGCGGUUCCGGACCUAGUUGUUUUGUAUUAAAUGAGAUAAUAUAUUUGUGAAUUCGUUUUAAUUACUGAGCCUAAUUGUGUGUUUUGUCGAAGAGUUAACUAUAUGUUUUUCCCUGUGAAGCUUAAUUAGUUUCUUAUGAUCAUAUAAAGCAAUGCGUACAUAAUCGCUUUAGUUGUUUUUAUAAAUGCUACAUAGACAACAAUUUAUGAGGCUAAAAAUACAAGUUUAUGAUAUAUUAUUUCAUUUAAUUUACAUUAUAUUUUUUUUAUUUUUAAUUGGCACUAUAUAAAGUGUGUUCUUGACUAUAUUUUCCUCUAUCAUUGUAUUCAUAACAGUCAUUUUAAGUGCUUUUCAUUCUCUUCCUUUGGAAAUUGUUGACUAGGGUCGUUAGAUAGACUUUAUAAUGCCUAUUGAUUAUUUCGUUGGCUUUGAAAGAACUUGAUAAUUGACUGAUUAGUAAAGGGCUUUGAAAGCAUAACCAAAGUCUUUGUAUGAGUCACUUUUGAUAUUAAUAAAUGAUAAACCAAAAAGAGACAAUCUUAAUUGCCCAAAAUAACUUGUGUCAUGCUAGAGAAGAGGACUCUCAUUAUCUCUUGUUCGGAUACAUAAGUGAGAUCUCCCGCCUUGUCGAUAGAUCCCCUGUUUUGAUUCCGCCUCUACAUUACUUAGACAACCAUAUCCAUGACGAUACGAUCUAUGUACAUCAUCUUGGUCUGUUGUUUUUCAGGAUUUAAAUCACUGUCAUGUAUGUGACAAAAAAUGUAGAAGGUUAUCGAUCCUUAGAUUUUAUAUGCCUUCUAUUCCCUAUAAUAUUCUAAUUAGUAAUUGUGUCGUGCUAUAUGCUUUCACUCAACGACCAUUCUAGUCGCUCUGAUCUGCUUUACUAAAUUAUACAAAAUAUUAUCCAACUCUUAAACUCAAUUAUUUUAGAAGAAAUUUGCCACAAUAGUACGUUUUUAAAAAUAAGUAAUAUAUGGGUAUAUAUAUGUCAGUGAAACAAACUUACAACAAAGGUUAAUAAGUUUUUGCAAACAUUAAAACAGUGUGAGAACCUAGUUUGCAAGUCAUUGAAGUGCACUUAUUUUUUCGGUCAAGGGUUUUGAGAUAAUUAAGUGUGUUUAUAUUGGAAUAGUCUUACGAUGGAUAGCUUUCAGGGCAAGGGUCUUUAUGUAAAUUUAAGCAUUUGUUUUUUACGUAAAUUUCAUCAUUUACUGAGUUGAGUGGUUAAGUAUUGUUUCUACGUACUCCAACUUAAGCAUUUGUUUGCCUAGAUUGUAAGUCGCAACUAAUUUUCAAGACAAUGCUUCAUUAAACAUGGAAUUCAUAAUAGUCGAGUUGCAGGAAAUAUGGCGAUACAUGCAGAGAAGAUUAAAAAAAAAUUACAUCCGUAAAGUAUAGACACUGUCACAGUCUUUCCAGGCUCAAAUCAAAGUUGUAUUUUUUUUUUAAAAAGAGAUACCGAUUUAUAUAUAAGAAAACAGAUCAAUAUUACAAUAGUUGAAGGUAGUAAGAACAGAGAAUUCAUGAGAGACAGAUUUCAAAAACCUAAUGUUGAAGCCAAUCAAAGUUGUUGAAAAACAUUUCUGCAAAAUACAUUUGUUAUGUACGAAAAUACAACAAUGAAACUGUUUCAUUUUGCUUAUUACAAAACCCACUGAACAAUCCGAAUUUGGCGUGUUAUUACGAUGGGAAGCUCCAGCAGUAUCCGAGAAAAUACUUUUCUUGUAUAAACUAAACUAAUAUAGUCAUCGAACACGUUUACAUGUAAAAAUUGUCAAGUGGUUUUGAUUAUAAAGCUUUUUUUUUUGUAAACUCAUCAUCUCAAUCAUCUCAUGUUAUUGGUAACUUUUUUUUUUUCAAAUGAUUUAGCAUUUAUUUGGUCCCAACGUGUUAUUCAAAAAAGGAUAGGGUUGGUCCAUGGACAGACAGACUAUAGAGAGCGUGUGAUAAAUUAAGCAUUUAUUUGUAUAUAUAUUAUUCAUUUUUUUUAAAUAAUGUUAAAUUCUAUUCAAAAGAAAUUUUUUACAACUCGUGCAGCGUUUGUUUGAAAUCUAAAACUGAUAAGGCAAUUUGGAAAACAAAGCUUAGUUUGUAUAGUAAAACCAAAACUGAAGCCCGUUGUCGUAGCGCCGGUCUCCAACGAGGCAAAUAGUCGAAUAUAUGUUUCUCAUUUGCAUAUCUAUCCAAGUUAUAAGCAGGGAAGUUGAGUUCGGAUUCUCGCGUGUCUCCUUCCAUUUUGCUCCUUCUAAAUAGUCUAAAUAGCCAUUUGUAGAGAAAUUAGACUUGAAGAUGUUCUUAGCUACUGCUGCCCAAAAUUCACCCCCGUACGCACAAGUAAUCCCGAGAUUCCAGAGCAUUAUCACAGAGAACGCACCUUCCCGAACCACCAUUGUUCCAUUGCAUCAUACGGUCACCUGUAGCGAGCUAACCACGUACAAAGGAAAACUUUGGUGUGGCGUGGCGGAAACACAGUCCCUUAGACCAAAACACCUCAGCUAUAUAUUACAUUCAAAUCUCCAAUACAAAACAAAAAGUUGAUUAAAACAAAAAGAAUCACAAAAGACGUUCUAACAAACUACAAUUGGAUUUUUGCCAUCAUCUAGACAUAACUAGAAGAGAUUUAGUUAUAACUAAUAACUAGAAACUCCUACCAACCACAAUAAAGAUUUCAACUAUCCAUUAAGAUAAGGUUGGUUCACAGUCUAUAGAGAGCAUGUGAUAUCAAACGAAGUUUGUGGUUACCAAACUUAGACGAACUAGUAUAUAAGGGAGCCUUGUUCCAUCACCAAUUCAUCAAUUCAAACUUAUAACUCUCUAAAUAUACAUAUUGCAAUCAAACAACCGAUCAAUCCAAAGAUGGAAGGCAAAACUUUGAUUCUAAGUGUGCUCGUUAUGAGCCUCUUCAUGGCACAAAUCCAAGUUGACGCCAAGGUCUGCUGUCCUACCACCACUGCUCGAAAUGUCUAUAAUUAUUGGGAUAUUAUUUAUCAUAGUAAAUCAUAUCCCACAAUUAUCGUACAUAGACUUAUUUGUUACCUAUUCUGCAAUGUAAAUUAUCUGCAUAUCUUUACUCUUUAGACUAGGUCAUCAAGUCCUUGUAAUAUAUAAGUAUGUAAUGGCCUCUCAAUGAAAUACGCAGAACACAUUCAUUCUCUGUCUGUUUAUGGUAUCAGAGCGGGUCGAAACAGUUUUUUUGAUUUUCUCUUAGUUUCUCUCUGCAACUCGAUCAUGGCUGCAACCAACGAACCAAACACGAACACGAACCCGAUGACCGGCGAGGUGAGACGCAAAAUCUCUCCCUACGACUUGAGUGCUGCGGACAAUCCGGGCGCUGUGAUAUCACUACCUUUGUUGAAAGGACCGAAUUAUGAAGAAUGGGCUUGUGGAUUGAAGACAGCUCUUUGCUCACGAAAGAAGUUUGGAUUUCUCGAUGGCUCCAUUGCUCGUCCUGCUGAUGGAUCUCCUGAUCUGGAAGAUUGGCUAACCAUUCAAGCCUUGCUCGUAUCAUGGAUUCGCAUGACAAUUGAUCCUUUGCUGCGGUCCAACGUUUCUCAUCGUGAUGUGGCUAAGGACUUGUGGGAUCACUUGAAGAAACGAUUUUCGGUGACUAAUGGACCACGGAUUCAGCAAUUGAAGGCAGAGCUCGCCUGUUGCAAGCAAAGAGGUCUCGCCAUUGACGCGUAUUACGGAAAAUUGAAUCGCAUUUGGGAUAACAUGGCGCAUCACAGACCUUUGCGUGUUUGUAAAUGCGGUAAGUGUGAGUGUAAUCUCACUGUGCUUCAAGAACAAGAUCGUGAGGAGGAUAAGGUUCAUGAUUUUUUGGCUGGUCUUGAUGAUGCAUUCAAGACAGUUCGAUCCAGCCUCGUGUCUCGUCUACCCAUUCCGUCCAUGGAGGAGGUGUAUAAUGUUGUUCGUCAAGAGGAGGAUUUGAAGACAAAUGUCAAACAAAGUGAAGAAGUUGCUGAAGUCACAGCAUAUGCGGUACAACAACGACAUCGCACCAACCCCUCUGCUCGUUCUGAUGACGCUCAACCAGUGUGCAAGCACUGCAGUCGAACUGGUCACUCCUCCGAUAGCUGCUUUGCGGUUGUCGGGUAUCCGGAGUGGUGGGGUGAUCGUCCAAGGAGCAGAACGGUUCAAGGUCGUGGACGUGGACAAUCUGCUGGACGUGGUCGUGCCUAUGCAAACGUAGUUCAUGUUCCUAAUGUGACGCCUCAGGAACAUGCAAAUUAUGUGAUCACGGACAAAGAUCGUGAUGGAGUGACUGGUUUAAAUGAGCUUGAGUGGCAGAACCUGAAGAAGCUUUUAAAUGGUGGUGCAAGCACAAGUCAUGAAAAGCUUUCUGGUAAGUGUUUUUCUCCUUCUUGGAUAUUAGAUACAGGAGCUUCACAUCAUCUAACAAGUAAUUACAAAACUCUUACCAAUGUAAGAGAAAUGGAACCUGUAUUGGUGAUUUUAGCGGAUGGUCGUGAACGCAUAUCAUGUCAAGAGGGGACUGUUGUAUUGGGUAGCAAUCUGGUCUUGAAAUCAGUGUUUUUUGUGGAAGAGUUGCAAAGUGAUCUUAUUUCAGUGGGGCAGUUAUUGGAUGAGAAUAAUUGUAUUGUACAAUUAGCUGAUCAGUUCCUUGUGAUUCAGGACCGCGCUUCGCGGACGAUGAUUGGAGCUGGUAAACGAGACAAUGGAACCUACCGUUUUUGCAGAAUGGAGUCGGUAGCGUUAGUCACAACAAAGGAGAUGAAGGCUUAUGAGUUGUGGCAUAAUAGGCUUGGACAUCCAUCUGCGAGAGUAGUUGGUUCACUUCCGCAAGUGUCUGUUUCUGUUGAUUCUGAUUCUUUCAAUAAAGCGUGUGAUGUAUGUUUCCGCGCUAAGAAAACAAGAUCGUGUUUUCCUACUAGUGAUAAUAAAACAACAUCCGUUUUUGAGCUUAUACAUUGCGAUCUUUGGGGUCCGUAUCGAACUCCGUCUUCUUCUGGUGCUCGUUAUUUUCUAACGGUCGUUGAUGAUUUCUCCCGUAGUGUAUGGAUUACUCUUCAACAUGACAAAACUGAGACAUCAUCUAAUCUAAAAAAUCUGAUUGCAAUGGCUGAGAGACAAUUUUCGAAGAAAGUUAAACGCAUCAGAAGUGAUAAUGGGACUGAGUUCACAUGUUUGGGAGCAUUCUUUCGCAGUCAGGGAAUUAUUCAUGAGACAUCUUGUGUAGCAACACCACAACAGAACGCCCGUGUUGAGAGAAAGCAUCGACAUAUUCUCAACGUAGCUCGCGCUUUACGGUUUCAGUCGCAUUUGCCUAUAACCUUCUGGGGAGAAUGUAUUCUCACAGCUGGAUAUUUGAUCAACCGUACUCCGAAUUCAGUGCUUAAUGGGGUCACGCCAUAUGAGAAGUUACAUGGUACUGCUCCAAGUUUUGAUCAUUUAAAGGUGUUUGGGAGUCUUUGUUAUGCGUACAAUCAAACGCAUAAUGGAGAUAAAUUUGAGUCUCGGAGUCGUAAGUGCAUUUUUGUGGGAUAUCCAUACGGGAAGAAGGCAUGGCGACUCUAUGAUCUUGAUACAAAUGUUUUUUUUUGUAUCCAGGGAUGUUCGAUUUUGUGAAACAGAGUUUCCUUAUGAUGAUGCUGCAAUUGAUCGUGGUUCAGUCGAUCCCAACAGAGAAGAAGGAGAGGCAUUAUGGGCUCCUUUCUCCUCUAGCCCAGCUGAAGAUGUUGAUAUACGGCCUUUAUCAUCUCCUACUUCUUCUCUCGGCCCAACACAGAUAGAAAGCCCAUUAACAUCGUCCUCCUCUGCUCUCAAUCCAGUGCUCGACGAUCCUCUUCCGUCUCCCUCACCUUCGAUUACUCCACCUACAUCACCGGUUUCUGCUCCGGUGGUCUCACCUGUCACCUCUCCAUCUUCGUCAGAUGCUGAGGACGAGAACGACCAACUACCAGAGGCGGUUCCUCUUCGCCGUGGUAAUCGACCUCGACAGCCACCAAUCAAAUUCCGUGACUAUCAAACUAAUACAGCUCAGAUAAGGAUGUUGGGUACGUCAAAAUCUUUGUAUCCAAUUCAAAAUUAUGUGAGUUGUGCACGUUUUUCAUCCACUCAUCGUGCCUAUUUGGUGGCCAUUACGGAUGUCUUUGAGCCAAAGACAUAUAAUCAAGCAGUUAAGAGCAAAGUUUGGACAACUGCUAUGGAUUCUGAGGUUCGUGCUUUGGAGGAAAAUCAGACAUGGACGCUUGAGGAUCUCCCUCCUGGCAAGAAAGCAAUAGGAUCGAAAUGGGUUUACAAAGUAAAACACAAUGCAGAUGGGACUGUUGAACGCUACAAAGCGCGUUUGGUAGCUCUUGGUAAUAAACAAAUCGAAGGAGUUGAUUAUGGAGACACGUUUGCACCGGUAGCUCGGAUGCAAACUGUGCGUAUGUUUCUUGAAGUUGCUGCGGGUAACGCUUGGCCAGUCCAUCAGAUGGAUGUCCACAAUGCGUUCCUACACGGGGAUCUCUCUGAGGAGGUCUACAUGAAGCCUCCCCCAGGUUAUUUUACUAAUGGUGAAAAGCUGGUUUGUCGACUUCGGAAGUCUCUCUAUGGUCUUAAACAAGCACCUCGUUGUUGGUUUGAAAAGUUGACAACUGCUCUUCGUGACUAUGGCUUUCUUCAGUCUCUUUCGGAUUACUCCCUCUUUGUUUUUGACAAAGGAGGGAUACGGAUUAACAUAUUGAUCUAUGUUGACGAUAUGAUUUUGUCUAGUAACUCGACUGAGGCGCUUUCUGGUUUCAAAAGCUAUUUGGCGUCGUGUUUUAAAAUGAAAGAUUUAGGCGCUCUUAAGUAUUUUUUGGGCAUCGAAGUCUCGAGAAGUUCACAAGGUUUCUAUUUAAGUCAGCGGAAAUAUGCUCUUGAAAUAGUUGCUGAUGCUGGAUUGCUAGGUUGCAAACCAGACGCCUUUCCUCUAGAACAGCACAACAAGCUUGCGUUGUCUACUUCUUCUCUCUUACCCGAACCGGAGCAGUAUCGUCGUCUGCUAGGUCGUCUCCUAUACUUAGCUGCUACACGGCCGGAUCUCACUUUCAGUGUUCAGUUUCUCGCUCAAUUUAUGAAAGAACCACGCGAGGAUCACUGGGAAGCUGCGCUUCGUGUUGUUCGCUACAUAAAGGGAAAUCCAGGCCAAGGUAUUUUGUUGAGCGCUAAGAGAGAUUUUCAGAUUACAGGCUGGUGUGACUCUGAUUAUUCGACUUGUCCCCUUACAAGAAGGUCAGUUUCUGGUUAUUUUGUUCAAGUGGGCACAUCACCAAUAUCAUGGAAGACGAAGAAACAGAAAACGGUUAGUAUGUCCUCUGCUGAAGCUGAAUAUCGUGCUAUGGCUUUUAUCACAAAGGAACUCAUUUGGCUAAAGAGAGUUCUGUCUGAUCUUGGUGAAACUCACUCUCAACCAAUGCGUCUCUAUUGUGAUAGCAAGUCUGCAAUUCACAUUGCCACGAACCCGGUCUUUCAUGAACGUACGAAGCAUAUCGAGAAUGACUGUCACUUUGUACGUGAUGAGAUCAAAUCUGGUAAUCUUCAUCUACUUCAUGUUCAAAGCAACUCUCAACUAGCGGAUAUUUUCACAAAGCCACUUGGUCGUCAUAGCUUUGAAGAUUUUUGCUCCAAACUGGGCAUUUUGAAUCUCCAUGCUCCAGUUUGAGGGGGGGUAUUGGGAUAUUAUUUAUCAUAGUAAAUCAUAUCCCACAAUUAUCGUACAUAGACUUAUUUGUUACCUAUUCUGCAAUGUAAAUUAUCUGCAUAUCUUUACUCUUUAGACUAGGUCAUCAAGUCCUUGUAAUAUAUAAGUAUGUAAUGGCCUCUCAAUGAAAUACGCAGAACACAUUCAUUCUCUGUCUGUUUAAUAAUACUUGCCGCCUUCCCGGAGCACCCAUGUCAGUAUGUGCUGGCCUCAGUGGCUGCAAAAUCGUUGAUGGGUCAUGUCCUAACGGAUAUCCUAACGAGAAUCUUGAAAACACAGGUAAAAAAAAAACAAUAUUAUGCUUUAGUAUGUACGUUGUGUGUCUAGCUUAUUGUCUUAAAAGAUAAAUCAAGAUUUAAUUGUUUCUUUUGUGUUUUGUCUCAAGGUGAUGUUGUUAGUGAAUACUGCAAGGUUGGAUGUGUAUCCUCUGUGUGCGGUGCUUUAUCCACUCUCCAGAACUCUGGUAAAACAACUCUCGAAACUCUUUUAUCAUUACUAUCAUUUGUUUUAAAAAUAAUAAACAAGAGAACAUAUAUAUGAUACAUUUCAAAUUUUGUUUCGAUAACUAGAUGCAAGUGAAAUCGUGAAUGAAGCUGCUGGAAACUGCGCCUUGGCGUGUUCUAAAGUCUGCACCAAGGGUUCGAUGAAUGCAGUUGGAACCGCCUAGACAACCUUAUUCACAAAGAUACGAAGUACAUCAUCUAUGGAGUGUUGUUUUUUCAUGUUUUCAUCAAUAAUUGUCAGUGUAUGUGACAAAAAUAUAGAAGGUUAUCGAUCCUUAGAUUGCAUAUGCCUUCUAUUACCUAUCUUUUCAAUAAUAUGUAAUUGUGUCGUGAUAUUUUUCGUUCAACCAAUAAAGUUGCUUUUUGCUUAGCUAUAUUACAUAGUAUCAACCAUUUUACCAAACUAUUUGAUUAAUAU
rnacentral:lncRNA from 1 species